GUUAUCUCAGAUUCUCCAGCAUCUGCAGUUCCUACUAUCUCUGUCCACAGGAUCCGGUGGCUUUUAACAUGGGACCACCAGCAAAGAUAGAAGGACAACUCCUUCAUCAACGCACGGGCAACGCACAACUCCUUCCUUUUCGGAGUUCCAAUGGCUUCUGAUCAAACAUUUACACCUACAAGCUGUUCAGCUACCUGGGAGUCGAUCACAGUUGCUAGCAGGGCAAGCUUUGACUAGUCAGGGACCAGAAGGAGACGGACCACGUGUUGGCAGAUGGGAUCAUGGUUGGCACAGACAUGGUAGGCCAAAGGACCUGUUCCUACGCUGUACUGUUCUGUGUUCACUGUGUUAAAGCUUCUCUCCAUGCAAGCAUGAGAUAAACAAUAGUUAUCUGUUGGCCUGAGGUCCUCUAACAAAUUGUCAAGCACAUCUACAACGGUUGGAAUCAAGAACAAUAGAUACUUUUCAUAAUGUGGUUCAAAAUCAAAGCUUCUAUGUGAAAUUAAACCACAAGUGGACAACUGGAAGAUCAAGAUACUUGUAGUAAAUGUCUUGCUUACCUAUCUUUGCUUGCAAAACUGAAAAUUAACCAUAUCCAUUGAACUGUCAAACAACCAGAUCCAAAAGCAAGAAAGCUGCAUGUUAACCUAAGGCAGCAGUUUAUUGUUGCCAAUCCAAGGAGUACCUCUCUGAUCUAAAGAGAGGUUGACUGACAUCGUUGACUGAAAUGCUUGCCAAAAAUAUAUUGACCAGCAUGAAUAAAAUGUGAGUAGGUUUCAAACUCUCAAAGAGUUUCGAGGAAAAUGCAUAAGAUAUUUGUAUCUGAAUUAAGUGGUUUGGCUUCUACCUGGGACACCUGGUCUAAUUUACAAUCUAUACUGUGGGCUAUUAUUUCAAAACUAAUGUACCAUUCC